GACGAACGCUGGCGGCGUGCUUAACACAUGCAAGUCGAACGGUAAGGCCCUUUCGGGGGUACACGAGUGGCGAACGGGUGAGUAACACGUGGGUGAUCUGCCCUGCACUUUGGGAUAAGCCUGGGAAACUGGGUCUAAUACCGGAUAGGACUACGCGAUGCAUGUCGUGUGGUGGAAAGCUUUUGCGGUGUGGGAUGGGCCCGCGGCCUAUCAGCUUGUUGGUGGGGUGAUGGCCUACCAAGGCGACGACGGGUAGCCGGCCUGAGAGGGUGUCCGGCCACACUGGGACUGAGAUACGGCCCAGACUCCUACGGGAGGCAGCAGUGGGGAAUAUUGCACAAUGGGCGCAAGCCUGAUGCAGCGACGCCGCGUGGGGGAUGACGGCCUUCGGGCUGUAAACCCCUUUCAGCACAGACGAAGCGUAAGUGACGGUAGGUGCAGAAGAAGCACCGGCCAACUACGUG
rnacentral:rRNA from 1 species